UGGGCAACCUGCCCCUAGCUCCGGAAUAACCCCGGGAAACCGAGGCUAAUACCGGAUACGACCCUGCGCGGCAUCUCGCGGGGUGGAAAGUUCUUCGGCUAGGGAUGGGCCCGCGGCCUAUCAGCUUGUUGGUGGGGUAAUGGCCUACCAAGGCUUCGACGGGUAGCCGGCCUGAGAGGGCGACCGGCCACACUGGGACUGAGAUACGGCCCAGACUCCUACGGGAG
rnacentral:rRNA from 1 species